rnacentral:hammerhead_ribozyme from 1 species
AUCCAGCUGAUGUGUCCCAAAUAGCACGAAACGCGCGUCAAAUUGGAU